GGGUGUGAGGAUGACUUGGCUGCAAAAUAUGUUACCCCACUGAUUGAUCACCAGGGUUGAUGUGGCUGAUCUGGCUGGCCAGACAGGUGUCCCCUUCCUCCCUCACUGCUCCAUGUGUGUCCCUCCCAAAGCUGCAAAGCUGAGGUCGAAGAGGAUGACCACCCUGUUAGUUAGACCAUUUCCUAGGUCAAGGGUUUAAGAGUAGCUGGGCUCCCCUGCCAGAACCUUCAAACAAGCUCUCAAAGUAUGGGCUGAAGAAUCACUAGAGACACCCAGGAUCUUUUCAGCCUGGGUGGCAACAAAAACAAUGACACAGUUUCAUAGUAAAAGUAUGAGGUUAUUUGCCUUU
ensembl:misc_RNA 7SK 7SK RNA